rnacentral:rRNA from 1 species
AUUGAACGCUGGCGGCAGGCCUAACACAUGCAAGUCGAGCGGUAGAGCGAAGCUUGCUUCUCUUGAGAGCGGCGGACGGGUGAGUAAUGCCUAGGAAUCUGCCUGGUAGUGGGGGAUAACGUUCGGAAACGGACGCUAAUACCGCAUACGUCCUACGGGAGAAAGCAGGGGACCUUCGGGCCUUGCGCUAUCAGAUGAGCCUAGGUCGGAUUAGCUAGUUGGUGGGGUAAUGGCUCACCAAGGCGACGAUCCGUAACUGGUCUGAGAGGAUGAUCAGUCACACUGGAACUGAGACACGGUCCAGACUCCUACGGGAGGCAGCAGUGGGGAAUAUUGGACAAUGGGCGAAAGCCUGAUCCAGCCAUGCCGCGUGUGUGAAGAAGGUCUUCGGAUUGUAAAGCACUUUAAGUUGGGAGGAAGGGCAGUAUAUUAAUACUUUGCUGUUUUGACGUUACCGACAGAAUAAGCACCGGCUAACUCUGUG